rnacentral:rRNA from 1 species
UGGGGAAUAUUGCACAAUGGGCGAAAGCCUGAUGCAGCAACGCCGCGUGAGGGACGACGGCCUUCGGGUUGUAAACCUCUUUUAGCAAGGAAGAAGCGAAAGUGACGGUACUUGCAGAAAAAGCGCCGGCUAACUACGUGCCAGCAGCCGCGGUAAUGCGUAGGGCGCAAGCGUUAUCCGGAAUUAUUGGGCGUAAAGAGCUCGUAGGCGGUUUGUCGCGUCUGCUGUGAAAACCCGAGGCUCAACCUCGGGCCUGCAGUGGGUACGGGCAGACUAGAGUGCGGUAGGGGAGAUUGGAACUCCUGGUGUAGCGGUGGAAUGCGCAGAUAUCGGGAAGAACACCGAUGGCGAAGGCAGAUCUCUGGGCCGUAACUGACGCUGAGGAGCGAAAAGGGUGGGGGAGCAAACAGGCUUAGAUACCCUGGUAGUCCACCCGCUAAACGUUGGGAACUAGUUGUGGGUCCAUUCCACGGAUUCCGUGACGCAGCUAACGCAUUAAGUUCCCCGCCUGGGGAGUACGGCCGCAAGGCUAAAACUCAAAUGAAUUGACGGGGUCAUAGCUGUUUCCU